GGGUUGUGAGGUUAAGCGACUAAGCGUACACGGUGGAUGCCCUGGCAGUCAGAGGCGAUGAAGGACGUGCUAAUCUGCGAUAAGCGUCGGUAAGGUGAUAUGAACCGUUAUAACCGGCGAUUUCCGAAUGGGGAAACCCAGUGUGAUUCGUCACACUAUCAUUAACUGAAUCCAUAGGUUAAUGAGGCGAACCGGGAGAACUGAAACAUCUAAGUACCCCGAGGAAAAGAAAUCAACCGAGAUUCCCCCAGUAGCGGCGAGCGAACGGGGAGCAGCCCAGAGCCUGAAUCAGUGUGUGUGUUAGUGGAAGCGUCUGGAAAGGCGCGCGAUACAGGGUGACAGCCCCGUACACAAAAAUGCACAUGCUGUGAGCUCGAUGAGUAGGGCGGGACACGUGGUAUCCUGUCUGAAUAUGGGGGGACCAUCCUCCAAGGCUAAAUACUCCUGACUGACCGAUAGUGAACCAGUACCGUGAGGGAAAGGCGAAAAGAACCCCGGCGAGGGGAGUGAAAAAGAACCUGAAACCGUGUACGUACAAGCAGUGGGAGCCUCUUAAUGGGGUGACUGCGUACCUUUUGUAUAAUGGGUCAGCGACUUAUAUUCUGUAGCAAGGUUAACCGAAUAGGGGAGCCGAAGGGAAACCGAGUCUUAACUGGGCGUUAAGUUGCAGGGUAUAGACCCGAAACCCGGUGAUCUAGCCAUGGGCAGGUUGAAGGUUGGGUAACACUAACUGGAGGACCGAACCGACUAAUGUUGAAAAAUUAGCGGAUGACUUGUGGCUGGGGGUGAAAGGCCAAUCAAACCGGGAGAUAGCUGGUUCUCCCCGAAAGCUAUUUAGGUAGCGCCUCGUGAAUUCAUCUCCGGGGGUAGAGCACUGUUUCGGCAAGGGGGUCAUCCCGACUUACCAACCCGAUGCAAACUGCGAAUACCGGAGAAUGUUAUCACGGGAGACACACGGCGGGUGCUAACGUCCGUCGUGAAGAGGGAAACAACCCAGACCGCCAGCUAAGGUCCCAAAGUCAUGGUUAAGUGGGAAACGAUGUGGGAAGGCCCAGACAGCCAGGAUGUUGGCUUAGAAGCAGCCAUCAUUUAAAGAAAGCGUAAUAGCUCACUGGUCGAGUCGGCCUGCGCGGAAGAUGUAACGGGGCUAAACCAUGCACCGAAGCUGCGGCAGCGACGCUUAUGCGUUGUUGGGUAGGGGAGCGUUCUGUAAGCCUGCGAAGGUGUGCUGUGAGGUAUGCUGGAGGUAUCAGAAGUGCGAAUGCUGACAUAAGUAACGA
rnacentral:rRNA from 1 species